AGAUAAUUUCACCCAUGCAAACGAUCUGCUGAUUGAUGCGGUCGAGUUUACUUGAGUGUAUUGACGUCUAAGCCGAUAUUGAUUAUAUCAUGUUAACGUAUAUAUUAGAAAAGAGAAAGGAAGAAAAAAAAAGAAAAUGUACUUUGUAUUCUUGUACAUUCAAGUGGUAGCAGUAAUUAAUCUAGGAAUUUUGUAUCCCGGGGGACAACAUCGGAUGACUAUCUUGGGAAACACUAUGAAUAACUGGCUGGAAGUUAAGCGUGCAUGUUUCACUGAAGUAUCAAUACUGUGACCACCGAAUGUAACUUUGCGGUCGUCACAUAUCAAGUUGUGUCUAAAGA